rnacentral:rRNA from 1 species
UAACCUGGUUGAUCCUGCCAGUAGUCAUAUGCUUGUCUCAAAGAUUAAGCCAUGCAUGUUCCAGUAUGAGUUUUCAUAUAACGAAACUGCGAAGGGCUCAAUAAAUCGGUUAUGAAAAAAUCGGUGCAUUUCAUAUGGUUAUCCGUGAUAAUUCUACGGUUAAUACAUGUAAGGCCCUUCGGGGUGCCUAUAUUUUGUUUAUGGUUACGAGCUCGCGCUCGGUAGUCGUGAAGAAAUUAUAUGUGCUUAUCAUCUCACUGAGAGAAGCUCCGAAUGUAUUUCCGCCCUAUCAGCUUUCGCCGGUAAUGUAGUGGCUUACCGUGGCAGUGACGGGUAACGGGGAAUUAGGGUUUGACUCCGGAGAGGGAGCCUGAGAAACGGCUACCACAUCUAUGGAAGGCAGCAGGCGCGCGAAUUACCCAAUCCUAUACUAGGGAGGUAGUGACAAGAAAUAACAACAUAGAUAUUUUUAUUUAUGAUUGGAAUGAGAGGACCUUAAACCAUUCCUCGAGAACCAUUUGGAGGGCAAGUCUGGUGCCAGCAGCCGCGGUAAUUCCAGCUCCAAUAGCGUAUAUUAAAGUUGCUGCAGUUAAAACGCUCGUAGUUGUUGUCCAACUAUAGAUUCCAUUUGCUUAUGCGAAAGGAGUUAGUAGUUUUGCUGAAACAUUGUUUCGGCCAAAACCUUGAGGAAAGAUUAGUGUUCCACGCAGUUAUUCUUGUCCUCCCCAGCAUGGUAUUCAAUGCAAACGAAAGAGAUUGCCGAGUCUCCAUCAAUAUAAAUAGAAAUUCAAGGGGGUAUACGUACUUUAAUGUCAGAGGUGAAAUUCCUAGAUUUUUAAAAGACGAUCAACUGCGAAAGCAUUCACCAAGCGACUUUUCUUUGAUCAAGAACGAAAGUUAGGGGAUUGAAGACGAUCAGAUACCGUCGUAAUCUUAACCGUAAACUAUGCCGACUUGUCGCAGGUAGAUAACUUCUUCGUGUUUAGCGUCGACUUUUGAGAAAUCAAAGUUUUUGGGUUCUGGGGGGAGUAUGAUUGCAAGAUUGAAACUUAAAGGAAUUGACGGAAGGGCACCACCAGGAGUGGAGCUUGCGGCUUAAUUUGACUCAACACGGGAAAUCUCACCAGCCCCACACAUAAAGAGGAUUGACAGUUUGAUAGUUCUUUCUUGAUUCUAUGGUUGGUGGUGCAUGGCCGUUCUUAGUUGGUGGAGUGAUCUGUCUGGUUAAUUCCGUUAACGAACGAGAUCUUAACCUACUAAAUAGACAGCCCAAGGGCUUUCUUCUUAGAGGGACACUUGAUCGUAUAGAUCAAGGAAGUUUGAGGUAAUAACAGGUCUGUGAUGCCCA